UUGACUAAAUUAGUGAGUAAUUGUUGACUUAAUUAAAGUAAUUUUGACAUUUUUAGAAAGUGGCCUACAAUUGUUGACCAAAUUAGUGAGUAAUUGUUGACUUAAUUAAAGUAAACUUUUGCCAUUUUUAGAAAGUGGCCAACUUUAAUGGGACACCCAAAAUAGAAAUGUUGCCAACUUUAAUGGGACGGAGGGAGUA
rnacentral:lncRNA from 1 species